rnacentral:ncRNA from 1 species
GUUUCAGGGCGGGGUGAAAUUCCCCACCGGCGGUACAGCCCGCGACCGCCUGGCACGUUGACAAAAACGCGCCAGGCGCUGACCCGGUGAGAUUCCGGGGCCGACGGUAUAGUCCGGAUGGAAGAAA